rnacentral:misc_RNA from 1 species
AUUUAUGAAUCCUAAGGUUGCCAACUCGUUGAACAAACUGCGCACAGCCUGCAUUGAGUUACUCUGUACUGCUAUGGCAUGGGCGGAUUUUAAAACCCAAAAUCAAUCUGAGCUGCGCUCAAAAAUUAUUUCGAUGUUCUUUAAGUCUCUGACAAGCAGAACCUCUGAAAUUGUAGCUGUUGCAAAGGAAGGGUUGAGACAGGUCAUACAGCAGCAAAGGAUGCCUAAAGAACUUCUACAAAGUAGCCUUAGGCCUAUAUUGGUUAACUUGGCCCACACUAAAAAUCUCAACAUGCCUCUUCUUCAAGGUUUGGCCCGCCUGCUUGAACUGCUGGCCAAUUGGUUUAAUGUGACCUUAGGUGGCAAGUUACUGGAGCAUCUUAGGAAAUGGUUGGAACCUGAAAAGCUAGCACAGUGUCAGAAAUCGUGGAAGGCUGGAGAGGAACCAAAAAUAGCUGCUGCUAUUAUCGAACUCUUCCACCUUCUUCCCUCUGCGGCUGGGAAGUUUCUGGAUGAUCUUGUGACAUUGACUAUUGAAUUGGAAUCAGCCCUUCCACCUGGGCAGUUUUACAGUGAGAUUAACAGUCCAUAUAG